rnacentral:rRNA from 1 species
CCUACGGGGGGCAGCAGUGGGGGAUAUUGCACAAUGGGGGAAACCCUGAUGCAGCGACGCCGCGUGUAGGAAGACGGUCCUCUGGAUUGUAAACUACUGUCCCCAGGGACGAAGAUGACGGUACCUGGGGAGGAAGCUCCGGCUAACUACGUGCCAGCAGCCGCGGUAAUACGUAGGGAGCGAGCGUUGUCCGGAAUUACCGGGGGGAAAGGGAGCGUAGGCGGGGAUGCAAGUUGGGUGUUAAAUCUACCGGCUCAACUGGUAGUCGCACUCAAAACUGCAGCUCUUGAGUGAAGUAGAGGCAGGCGGAAUUCCUAGUGUAGCGGUGAAAUGCGUAGAUAUUAGGAGGAACACCAGUGGCGAAGGCGGCCUGCUGGGCUUUUACUGACGCUGAGGCUCGAAAGUGUGGGGAGCAAACAGGAUUAGAUACCCCAGUAGUC